AAUAAGUACAGUUUUGCACUGUUCACGUUCAACGAUUGACCGUUCGUCUUAUUUGAAAAUUUUUUAUGAUUAGUAUUUUUAUUACUAUUAGAUGAUAAAACAUUAAUAGUACUUUAUGUGUGACUAAAUAUUUUCAAAUUUUUCACAAAAUUUUUAAAUAAGACGGACGGUCAAACGUUAGACACGGAUAUUCACAGCUGCACUUAUU
rfam:Oryza sativa (indica cultivar-group) chromosome 7, whole genome shotgun sequence.